GCAUAUCAAUAAGCGGUGGAAGAGAAACUAACCAGGAUGCGCUUAGUAACGGCGAGCGAACCGCGCAAAGCCCAACUUGAAAAUCUCCCUU
rnacentral:rRNA from 1 species